rnacentral:sRNA from 1 species
AGUCACCUUCAGUUUCUGGAGCUGACCGUCAACAUGUCCUUUCCUAAGGCGCCCCUGAAACGAUUCAAUGACCCUUCUGGUUGUGCACCAUCUCCAGGUGCUUAUGAUGUUAAAACUUUAGAAGUAUUGAAAGGACCAGUAUCCUUUCAGAAAUCACAAAGAUUUAAACAACAAAAAGAAUCUAAACAAAAUCUUAAUGUUGACAAAGAUACUACCUUGCCUGCUUCAGCUAGAAAAGUUAAGUCUUCAGAAUCAAAGAUUCGUGUUCUUCUACAGGAACGUGGUGCCCAGGACAGGCGGAUCCAGGAUCUGGAAACUGAGUUGGAAAAGAUGGAAGCAAGGCUAAAUGCUGCAUUCAGGGAAAAAACAUCUCUCUCUGCAAAUAAUGCUACACUGGAAAAACAACUUAUUGAAUUGACCAGGACUAAUGAACUACUAAAAUCUAAGGUAUCUGAGCCUCAUGAUAACAUUUACAAUUGAAUAAAUAUAAACACGUUUUUUAGGGCCGGGCAUGGUGGCUCACGCCUG